CCAAUCGAACCCGGAGAUAGCUGGUUCUCCUCGAAAUAGCUUUAGGGCUAGCCUCAUGGAUCAUUGGUGGGGGUAGAGCACUGAAUGUGCGCGGGGGCCACAAAGCCUACCAAACGCUAUCAAACUUCGAAUACCAUACAAUGCAGACCAUGGGAGUCAGUCCGCGAGAGAUAAGUUCCGCGGGCAAAAGGGGAACACCCCAGAUCAACCGCUAAGGUCCCCAAGUUCACGUUAAGUGGAGAAGGAUGUGGAAUUGCACAGACAACCAGGAUGUUGGCUCAGAAGCAGCCACACAUUUAAAGAGUGCGUAAUAGCUCACUGGUCGAGUGAUUGUGCGCCGAAGAUGUCCGGGGCUAAACGUGACACCGAAGCGAUGGGUGCAUCUGAAGAAGAUGCGCGGUAGAGGAGCAAUGUGCAGAGGCAGAAGCCGUAUCGAGAGGCACGGUGGACACUGCACAAGAGAGAAUGCCGGUAUGAGUAGCGAGAGGCAUGCGAGAAACAUGCCCGUCGAAAGCCCAAGGUUUCCUGGGGAAGGUUCAUCCGCCCAGGGUAAGUCGGGGCCUAAGCCGAGGACGGAAGUCGUAGGCGAUGGACAGCAGGUGUAGAUUCCUGCACUACCGAUGGAAUGAAGCAGUGACACAGAAGGAUAACUCGAGCAGGGUGAUGGUCAACCCUGUGCAAGCAUCAAGGUUGGGUUGUAGUGAAGUACGCAACCCUAUAAGCUGAGGUGUGAUGCGGACCGAAAUUUCAGUAGGGAAGCGAGUGAGUUCACGCUGGCGAGAAAAGCUGCUAGUACAUCCAAAGGUACCCGUACCGGAAACCGACGCAGGUGGGCGAGGAGAGAAUCCUGAGACGAACGGGAGAACCCUUGUUAAGGAACUCGGCAAAAUGACCCCGUAACUUCGGGAUAAGGGGUGCCUGCGAGAGCAGGCCGCAGAGAAUAGUCACAAGCGACUGUUUAGCAAAAACACAGGUAUCUGCGAAAGCGAGAGCUGACGUAUAGGUGCUGACACCUGCCCGGUGCUGGAAGGUUAAGGGAACAUGUUAGAGCAAUCGAAGCAUCGAACCGAAGCCCCAGUAAACGGCGGCCGUAACUAUAACGGUCCUAAGGUAGCGAAAUUCCUUGUCGGGUAAGUUCCGACCCGCACGAAUGGUGUAACGACUUGUGAGCUGUCUCAACAGGGGGCCCGGUGAAAUUGAAGUAUGGGUGAAGAUGCCCAUUACCCGCGACUGGACGGAAAGACCCCGUAGAGCUUUACUGCAGCCUGAUAUUGAGUUUCGGUAACUGAUGCACAGGAUAGGUGGGAGUCUGAGAGACAUGGGUUUCGGCUCAUGUGGAGACGGUGUUGGGAUACCACUCUUCGGUUACUGAAAUUCUAACAUAGCUCUGUGAAACCAGAGGAUGGACAGUGUCAGGUGGACAGUUUGACUGGGGCGGUCGCCUCCGAAAGAGUAACGGAGGCGCCCAAAGGUACCCUCAGAAUGGAUGGAAACCAUUCGAAGAGCGCAAAGGCAGAAGGGUGCCUGACUGCGAGAUUGACAAAUCGAGCAGAGACGAAAGUCGGGCUUAGUGAUCCGGCGGUAUUGAGUGGAAAAGCCGUCGCUUAACGGAUAAAAGCUACCUCGGGGAUAACAGGCUGAUCUCCCCCAAGAGUCCACAUCGACGGGGAGGUUUGGCAC
rnacentral:rRNA from 1 species